CCGACUUCGAUAUGAUCCGACCCAUUUCAGUUUCUGGACUAAAACGUGUCGUCGUCGUCUUUCUCAGUUCUCAACUUCUCACACAAAAGAGUCUGUAACAGGAAGAAGAGUAGAGCAAUGAGUGGAGAAGAAUUAGCGGGCCCCCCAGCGCCAAAGCUCCUUCGUCUGCUUUAUUUUGUCGGCGCUGGCUUUAUUUGCACUGUUGGAAUCAACAAAUGGCGUGAGCUUCAGCGCAAGUCCAUUUUACAACAGCAGCAGCAACAGCUCCCUGAAAAUGCCGCAAAUGCCCUUGAGUGAUCUCCAGGUUUUUAUUUGAAAAUCUUGCUGUUGUUUUAAGGCAAAUUUUCAAUUUUUAUCAUGGAAUUUGGCAAGUGAGCUUGAUCUUUGGCUUCAUUUUGAGUUUUUAUGUACUGCUCCAGCUGAACUCGUGUUAGACUGAGCUUUGGUAGUUUGGUUGUUAAAUUAUGUGGAAAAUGGUGCAAGAAUUCAUAUCUUUCAAUCUGUUUGAAUAUACGAAAUACCUAUGGGUGCAAAUUUCUUUGGCUUCAUUUUGAGUUUGAUCAAAUUGCUAAUCUGAGUAUUUAGUGUACAAAUUUGAAUGGUAAUGGGUAUUGUCAACAUUUCGAUUUUGUAUACAUUUGUGCUUCUUUGGUGACAUUUUCUCUCUAGUUUAUAGUUUGAUUCCGGCAAUAUACACCAGUCUUGAGGAUGACUCAAAUAGCGAGAUUAUUGAUAUUGAGUAAGAAGGUGAGAUUAUUGGUAUGUGUGUGUGUGCGCGCGCGCAGUGGUGGGUUGCUAUUGUGAGUACCGAAGAGCUUUCUCAUCUUAGAAUAUGCAUGUCUAUUGAAGCUGUGGAUUCUAAUCCAAAUCGAGGCGAAUUUGUCUUCUGUGAAUAAUGCUAGCCAAAACCAUGAGGCAAUCACUUCACUGAGUUCUGCAACCUUCACUUAAUGCAGGUCUCUGUUGCAGCUAGAUAGCUGGAUGCAGUUUUUUAUUUGGAAGCCUUGAGGGACUUUUGGAGCUGAAGCUUUCAUGUUUGUUUUUGCCUUGAUACAUUCUUUUGUCGAACUAUAUCAAUAAAGGUUAUUGAUUGGGCAGAAUCAUAUCUGAAUAUGUGGUCAGGAUUUAAGAUUUGACAUUUCAAACUAUUUUAAAGAACGUUUCAUAGCUUUUAGAUCAGCACAGGGAACAUCUCUUCAAACCAGAGAUUGGGUUCAACCCUCAACAAAUUCUCUGGAAAACCUCCAACCAUAUAUAGGAAUACAACAGCGGGUGUGCAAAUAAUGUCUUUGACUUUGCCACGUGCAAGAGUUAAAUCAAGGUCAGACGAUUGCCAUGUUUGGAAAAACAAACAAUUGACCAGAGCAUGUGCGAGGCUGGGCAUCAGAAUGUUUUACAGUUUUGCCUGGUGGCUGGCUGCAUCAAUGAGACGAAACGCCGCAAAGGCAAGUGAACGAGUUCUUAUACAAAUCUUCCCAUGUUUUACAAGCUUCCUGUCAAUCAUUUUGAAGAUGGAUUGACAGAGAAAUCUUUGUUCCCUUUAACAUUCUCACUACCCUUUGUCACUGAGAAUGUUAAAAGGAACAAAGAUUCUUGUGUCAAUCCCUCUUCAAUUAAGGAAAAUACUUGCCUCAUUCUCUGGAAGUAAAAACUCCCACUUUCCUGUCAA